rnacentral:lncRNA from 1 species
CAAGAAUGGGAACCCAGGACUGGUGAUUAAGCCUCAUAACUCAUUUCACUGCUCAAAGGCAAACAUCCAUGGACCCCUUAAUUAAAACCUAUCACGUCAACUGUUCACAUGCCUACCUAAAACAAUCUUCAAUGGUUGAUUGCAUCACCUUUUCGACCCAGCAUGAUGCUUUGUCUGGUAUAAAAGCAUCAUGCUUACGUGGUAAGAAAAGAAGGUAUAGUGAUAGU